rnacentral:rRNA from 1 species
UACGUAGGGUGCAAGCGUUGUCCGGAAUCAUUGGGCGUAAAGCGCGCGUAGGUGGCUUUGUAAGUCCGUUGUGAAAGUCAAAGGCUCAACCUUUGAAUGCCGAUGGAUACUGCGGAGCUAGAGUACGGAAGAGGCGAGUGGAAUUCCUGGUGUAGCGGUGGAAUGCGCAGAUAUCGGGAGGAACACCGGUGGCGAAGGCGGUUCUCUGGGCCUGUACUGACGCUGAGGAGCGAAAGCGUGGGGAGCGAACAGG